ACUGUCACUGUUUAACAGCUGAGUCUACAGGGGUCCAUACAUCAGGAGUGCAUUGGGCUAAUUCGCAAUUCUCCCUAUGGCUGGGUACCUUUUCAUCCCGAACCUCCAGUGUGUCCUCUUCCGCAAUUUUAUUUUCCAGGGGUUGCUGUGAUAGCCGGGCAGUGGCAGAUCAAUCAGUGAUGUAAAGCAUUGCACGCCAGGCCAUCUCAUCACAAACAGCAAGCAGUUUAUUCACAGUUCAGACAGGGUUAUCAUGACAGAAGCGAUAGUUAUGCUUUAUUUCCCACAUAUCAUUUAGACUUUAAAUAUCUGAGCUUCUGGGAAUGUACAUCAUACAGUGUUAUUUUUCCUUCAGAAAUGUGUAAAUUGUAUUCUUGCCA